rnacentral:lncRNA from 1 species
UUUACGUCCUGAAUACUAAAGAUUUGGAAGUAACACAGCCCCACAGGGAUCCCUCCUGACAAAUGAGGCCCAACCUUUCUGCUACAGAAGGAGGAUUUUGGUGAAGGACAAAAGUGCUGCACAAAGGACUCGGUGCAGAGGUGAGCACGCACAGGCAGGCACUGCAGCCCACUGUAACCACAGUGAGCCCAAGCUGCCUGCAGUCCGGCUUUCAUGUUUCAAAGCCCAGCUCAUGGCACGGCUGCUUUAAUGCAGAGCCUCUGACAUAUUCUGGGAGUUGAGGAGUUAUUACCUACAAGGAAAACAGUUUCAGAGCUGAAGGGAAUGGCAAUUUUUGAGUGGCACUGUAAUUUCACCUGCUGUAUUUCUGGGACACCGGUGUGCUCUUGUGCUAUGGGUGGGGGAAUUGCAUCUGAACAUUUCUCUAUACAUUAAUCACAGCCCUCAGCAGUCUGAAAGCCUUUAUUACCAAACAAAGAAAUUCCCCACAGAAAGCAGGACUGUGCUAUCCAUUUGUUCAGAUAAAAUCUGCUUACGAUAAUUUUCCCACCUGCCCCAUCGAUCCGUGUCUAGGAGAGCUAGAUGUGAUACCCAGCUCCUGGCUGCCUAUAUAGCGCGAGCUGCGGGAACUGGCAGCUCCAACCUGAACGGCAAUUUCUCUUUUUGAAACAGAUUAAUAGACGAGCGGGGUUUAUUGUGUCCAAAAGAGGGAGAAAUCUAUAUUGCACAAAGCAAGCCCUGCACAGAAAAGCAAGCCCUGCUCGCUCACCCCCCGCCCCGCUGCAGGCAUACCCUCCAUUUUCCCCUCAGCCCCUCCCAGCAGCCGCUGCCGAGGAGACCCCGGGGUUUCCCUAGCAACAGGUGGGAGCUGCGCGGCGCCGGGGUUUCCCCAGCGGCGCUCCCCGCACGCCGGCGGCGGGCCCGGGGCUGCCCAGCCGGGCAAGGCCGGGGUGUGUGGCCUGUCCCGCCCUCCAGGGCACGCUGGGUGAGGAGCUGCCCCUGGCCCGCAGCGGGAAGUGUGUGGAGGAGUAAGAAGAAAGAAGGCAUUGCCUGGUGGCAAGGGCAGCUGGAGAGGCUUCGUCUUGAAUGCUCGGAAAUGGACACAUUCGUUCCGAAACACUCCAGAGAUCAACAUAAAUCUGCAAGUGUUAGCCAUGAAAAUGGAUCUGUUUUCUACUCAGAUGUGAAGAUGAAAAUGCAGGUGUUCUUGUAUCAGAAAGCAGACCUAGGAGACUUCAGAAACAGCAACCGAGUCCACACAGUCUUCUCCAAAAUAGUUUUCUAUUACAGAGAAGGGCUUCAGAAAUAUUUUAAGAUGAAGUCAGCAUGGCUUCAGAAAAGAGAAAGGGGAGUCAGUAGUGCCGUUAUGGGAAAGGAAUUGGAUGAAUUGAACUCCAAGGUCAGUGUCUACUGGAUUUAA